rnacentral:rRNA from 1 species
UACGUAGGGGCCUAGCGUUGUCCGGAUUUAUUGGGCGUAAAGAGCGUGUAGGCGGCCAGGUAGGUCUGCUGUGAAAACUCUAGGCUCAACCUCGAGACGUCGGCGGAAACCAUCUGGCUAGAGUCCGGAAGAGGAGAGUGGAAUUCCUGGUGUAGCGGUGAAAUGCGCAGAUAUCAGGAAGAACACCCGUGGCGAAGGCGGCUCUCUGGGACGGUACUGACGCUGAGACGCGAAAGCGUGGGGAGCGAACAGG